UACGAAGGGGGCUAGCGUUGCUCGGAAUCACUGGGCGUAAAGGGUGCGUAGGCGGUUCGUUAUGUCGGAUGUGAAAGCCCUUGGCUUAACCGAGGAAGUGCAUCCGAAACUGGCGAGCUAGAGUACUAAAGAGGAUCGCGGAAUUCCCGGUGUAGAGGUGAAAUUCGUAGAUAUCGGGAGGAACACCGGUGGCGAAGGCGGCGAUCUGGGUAGAUACUGACGCUGAGGUGCGAAAGCGUGGGGAGCAAACAGG
rnacentral:rRNA from 1 species